rnacentral:rRNA from 1 species
GGACUACUGGGGUAUCUAAUCCUGUUUGCUACCCACGCUUUCGCGUCUCAGUGUCAGAAACGGCCCAGAAGGCCGCCUUCGCCACAGGUAUUCCUCCAAAUAUCUACGAAUUUCACCUCUACACUUGGAAUUCCACCUUCCUCUACCGUUCUCUAGUCUACCAGUUUCGACUGCACUUCCCCGGUUGAGCCGAGGGCUUUCACAACCGACUUGGUAAACCACCUACACGCGCUUUACGCCCAAUGAUUCCGAACAACGCUUGCACCCUACGUAUUACCGCGGCUGCUGGCAC